GUACUGUGCAAACGUUGGUUCGGGAAUCACUGGGCUUAAAGGGUGCGUAGGCGGCUGUUCAAGUCGGGUGUGAAAUCCCUCGGGCUCAACCGAGGGAACUGCGCCCGAAACUGAAUGGCUUGAGUGAGAUAGGGGUGUGCGGAACUUCCAGAGGAGCGGUGAAAUGUGUUGAUAUUGGAAGGAACACCGGUGGCGAAAGCGGCACACUGGGUCUCAACUGACGCUGAGGCACGAAAGCCAGGGGAGCGAACGGGAUUAGAUACCCCGGUAGUCCUGGCUGUAAACGAUGAGCACUAGACGGGAGGAGCUUCGGCUCAUCCGGUCGCAGCGAAAGCGAUAAGUGCUCCGCCUGGGGAGUAUGGUCGCAAGGCUG
rnacentral:rRNA from 1 species